rnacentral:rRNA from 1 species
CAAUAGCGUAUAUUUAAGUUGCUGCAGUUAAAAAGCUCGUAGUUGGAUUUCGGGUGGGAAUGGCCGGUCCGCCGUUUCGGUGUGCACUUGCUACGCCCACCUUGCUGCCGGGGACGUGCUCUUGAGUUCACGCUCGGGACACGGAGUCGGCGAGGUUACUUUGAGUAAUUUAGAGUGUUCAAAGCAGGCCUACGCUCUGAAUACAUUAGCAUGGAAUAACACGAUAGGACUCUGGCCUAUCUUGUUGGUCUGUAGGACCGGAGUAAUGAUUAAGAGGGACAGUCGGGGGCAUUCGUAUUUCAUUGUCAGAGGUGAAAUUCUUGGAUUUAUGAAAGACGAACUACUGCGAAAGCAUUUGCCAAGGAUGUUUUCAUUAA